AAAGUUAAAUCCAACAAUUUGAUUGAUUGCUUGUUUUGACACCCAAUGUGAUUAAAUAUACCACUCUACUGAUUCUAGGUGUUAAUCUAAGUGAGAACUGGCACAUAGAGUAAAGCUAAACAAGUGUUUAACCCGAAAAAGUACUUAAUGCUAAGUGUAAAUGCUCAUACCCAAGUUCUGAGAAACAAGGAGCAUAUUGAUUCAGAGAAGAGCUGCCUAACCACCUAAUACUGCAAAAAAAUCUUCCACCAUUCCUUUCUUUCAGAGGUCUGAGAUAUGUGGAUCUGGGCUGGGUGUAAGCAUAAUUCAAGAAAAUGAUUUGAGGAAAAGAAAUCCGUUUCAUUACUGCAUCCCCUUUACAAUUCAGAUGACUGACUUUAUAGCUCCAGCAAAGCCUUUGCCUCAACAGUCUAAGUAAGAGUUGCCUCUGCGAGGGAGAGGAGUUCCUAACACCUGCUCAGCCCACACAGCACCACCAUGACCAGCUCCACCUGACUGCUGUGAAAGGCCCCUUUGAGCAGCUCCAAGAUCAGGUGCAGGAAGACCCUUGAUAAUACAAAUGUGCACCAGAGACCCUCUAGGUCAGAUGCUGGCAUUCUAGAAGGAAGCGUCCUCAAAUUCCUGCUCUGGCUCUCAUGCUGAAGUCUCUGGGAACGCCUUUAUGGGACCUUAGGUACGUUGGCACUGCCUUCUAAACUUAUGUUGUUUCAGUCUGCAUCUCAUGCAUUCCCUAACCCCCAGAAACUAUGAUAUUGUGUUUU
ensembl:lncRNA